rnacentral:rRNA from 1 species
AUACCCUAUUAUUUUAAAUUUAAAUUUUUACUUGAAUAUUAUUAGUUAUGAUCUUUAACCUCAAAGAUUUUGGCGGUUAUUUAGUUCCCAUUAGAGGAAUCUGUGUAUUAAUUUGAUAAACCACGAUGGUUUAUACCAUUUAUUUACUUGUAUAUCUCUAUGUAGGGUGUUUUAUAAGAAUUAUUUCCUUUUUAUUUUUUUUUAUAUUAGGUCAAGGUGCAGUUUAUUAAUUUGGUUUUCAUGGGUUACUUUAUAUUUUUUAGUUUCUUUUUUUGUUCUUUUUGAGUGAUAAUUUUAGUAGGAUUUAAUAGUAAUUUAAAUAAACUUAUUUUUUUGAAUUUAGGCUCUGAAUUAUGUACACAUC